AACCAUAGAAACCUGCGGAGUACCUGCGGAAGGAUCAUUACAAGAAUCGAGGCUGACGGUGCCUACUCCCUAGGCUCCGUCCAGUCCCGCUCUCUACCUUGCCUACUGCACCGUUUGUUGCUUCCUGGCGGCGUCCCGUCGCCAGGGCCUUUUGAAGGCCAAGUAUAAGCAUUGAAACUUCUGACAUACACUAAAUCGUACAACUUUUAACAAUGGAUCU
rnacentral:misc_RNA from 1 species